rnacentral:SRP_RNA from 1 species
GCAACAGGUAGGGUCGGAGGGAUAGCCGUCCUCCUCGCUGAAACCGGCUAUAUGCAGCGCCAGUAACCAGUGGUUAAAGUAUAAUUUUCAGGUACCUGCCAUCUUGCUUGAAUGAAAUCACGCCGUGAUUGGUGGUCACAAGAGAUAGCUAUUUCGAAGGAAAUAGUGAUUCUUCAACUACUGAAACCGGACAGGUCCGGGAGGGAGCAUCCGUAUAGUGGGGUGGUUGCGCUUUCACGUCUACGUGAAUGACUUUGUAGGAUUGGAAAAGGACCUGGGAAUCAUAUGAAUCCCAUUGGUGCUGUUGC